CAGGACGAACGCUGGCGGCGUGCUUAACACAUGCAAGUGGAGCGACGAACCAGGGCUUGCCCUGGGGCAGAGCCGCGAACGGGUGAGUAACACGUGGGUAACCUACCCCGAUGACCGGGACAACCCGAGGAAACUCGGGCUAAUACCGGAUGUUCUCGUUUCUCUCAAGAGAUUCGAGCAAAGAUAGCUUCGGCCUUCGCAUCGGGACGGGCCCGCGGCCCAUUAGCUUGUUGGUGGGGUAACGGCCUACCAAGGCGACGAUGGGUAGCUGGUCUGAGAGGACGAUCAGCCACACUGGGACUGAGACACGGCCCAGACUCCUACGGGAGGCAGCAGUGGGGAAUCUUGCGCAAUGCGCGAAAGCGUGACGCAGCAACGCCGCGUGGGGGAAGAAGGCCUUCGGGUUGUAAACCCCUUUCAGUUGGGACGAAGCUUCGUCGGUUAAUAGCCGGCUGGAGUGACGGUACCU
rnacentral:rRNA from 1 species